UACGGAGGGUGCAAGCGUUAUCCGGAUUCACUGGGUUUAAAGGGUGCGUAGGCGGGUAUCUAAGUCAGUGGUGAAAGCUCCGGGCUUAACUUGGAAACUGCCAUUGAUACUGUAUAUCUUGAAUGUCGUUGAGGUUAGCGGAAUGUUGCAUGUAGCGGUGAAAUGCUUAGAUAUGUUACAGAACACCAAUUGCGAAGGCAGCUGGCUACACGAAUAUUGACACUGAUGCACGAAAGCGCGGGGAUCAAACAGG
rnacentral:rRNA from 1 species